GACGAACGCUGGCGGCGUGCUUAACACAUGCAAGUCGAACGGAAAGGCCCUGCUUUUGUGGUGUGCUCGAGUGGCGAACGGGUGAGUAACACGUGAGUAACCUGCCCUUUACUUUGGGAUAACUUCAGGAAACUGGGGCUAAUACCGGAUAGGAGCUCCUGCUGCCUGGUGGGGGUUGGAAAGUUUCGGCGGUUGGGGAUGGACUCGCGGCUUAUCAGCUUGUUGGUGGGGUAGUGGCUUACCAAGGCAUUGACGGGUAGCCGGCCUGAGAGGGUGACCGGCGACAAUGGGACUGAGAUACGGCGCAGACGCCUACGGGAGGCAGCAGUGGGGAACAUUGCACAAUGGGCGGAAGCCUGAUGCAGCAACGCCGCGUGCGGGAUGACGGCCUUCGGGUUGUAAACCGCUUUCGCCUGUGACGAAGCGGGAGUGACGGUAAUGGGUAAAGAAGCACCGGCUAACUACGUG
rnacentral:rRNA from 1 species